GAUUAUGGGGUCACUGGAGGAUCAGAUUUUGCAGCCAAUCCUCUGUUGGAGGCCUAUGGUAACGCCAAAACUGUGAGGAAAUGACAACUCUUCUCGUUUUGGUAAAUUCAUCAGAAUCCAUUUCGGCAGGCACUGGCAACCU